GAUAAACGCUGGCGGCGUGCCUAACACAUGCAAGUCGAACGCGCUUGGCAACAAGCGAGUGGCGGACGGGUGAGUAACACGUGGGUCAUCUACCCUUAGGUGAGGAAUACCGGCGAGAAAUCGCCGACAAUGCCGCAUACGCUCGCAAGAGCAAAGUCGUAAGACGCCUGAAGAUGAGCCUGCGCCCGAUUAGUUCGUUGGUGGGGUAAAAGCCUACCAAGACAUCGACGGUAGCUGGUCUGAGAGGACGAUCAGCCACACUGGGAUUGAG
rnacentral:rRNA from 1 species